rnacentral:lncRNA from 1 species
GUGAUCCUGGAGACCCGGGAUCAAGUCCCAUGUCGGGCUCCCUGCAUGGAGUAUGCUUCUCCCUCUGCCUGUGUCUCUGCCUCUCCCUCUCUCUCUCUCUCUCUCUCUCUCUCUCUCUCUGUCUGUCAUGAAUAAAUAAACAAAAUCUUUAAAAAAAAAUAAAUUCCCCUUCCCAAAAGAUAAACUGUCAAGUUCAUUAGACUGGACAUUGCUAGGACUUCAUCAAUAGUAUCUUCACUGGCCUUCUCCAUUGCACAGGUGUGUCUAUCUCAUUGAUUGGUUGUCCAUCAAAUUUGAAUCUAAUCUGUCUCAUUGACAGGUUUUGUCUCUCACAAUAUGCGUUCAUCAGUUUGUUGAGAGGUGUUUGUCAUUUCUUUUGAGCUGAAUCACAGUUCUAUUAUAUUAUAGAAUUAUAACACAAAAAUGUUAAUUGGAAGUGACCUUUCAGUCAUUUUUUCUAACCUCCUACCUGGUAGAGAAUUCUCCUCUACAGUAUCCACAUCUAGAGGUCAUUCAGUAGUAGAUCCUUAGAUACUUCUGAUAACAGAGAGCUCACUAACUUGUGAAAUAGGCUAUUUCAAUUAUAUUCAGCUCUAUUUCUUAGUAAAUUCUUCUUUAUAUUGAACCAGGACUCCUUGAAAUUUUCAUUUCAGCCUAGGUGCCUAUUCUGAUGAUCCCAGAAUAAGAAUAGGCUUACUGUUUUUUCCAGAUGGCCUGCUGCUUUGGAAUUAAUAUAGCAGUUCUUUGUCUUCUGAUCCUAUAUCCAGAUUUCCCUUGGAAAACCCUUAGGUGCAACCAUUUCCCCCUUAGGCCUGGAUCCCUGAGGUUUGUUCCCUGAUAUCCCAAGACAAUUUGGUACCAAGAGAAAACACUGGAGAUAGAGUGCUGAGUGAAGAAAAAGUAGAAGGGCAAAGACUAGCCUCUCUUAGCACGUGGUGUUCCCUUACUCUGGGAUGCUGGACCUUUUUGGUAGCAGGAUCUGAGCGCAGAGGACAGGACAAUUCCUGGUGGCUUAUAGCACGACCCAGUGUGCUUGCUGGAGAUCUCAGAUGCACCCAAAUUGGAGCUGGGAGAGUCUGGAGACGGAACCACCUAGCCAAGCCAAGAACAGUUAGUACUUCUGCUACAAGUUCAGGCUUUGCACAAACUGAUGGGAACCAAAAAAAGUGA